rnacentral:rRNA from 1 species
UGGGGAAUUUUGGACAAUGGGCGAAAGCCUGAUCCAGCAAUGCCGCGUGUGUGAAGAAGGCCUUCGGGUUGUAAAGCACUUUUGUCCGGAAAGAAAUCCUUGGCUCUAAUACAGUCGGGGGAUGACGGUACCGGAAGAAUAAGCACCGGCUAACUACGUGCCAGCAGCCGCGGUAAUACGUAGGGUGCAAGCGUUAAUCGGAAUUACUGGGCGUAAAGCGUGCGCAGGCGGUUUGCUAAGACCGAUGUGAAAUCCCCGGGCUCAACCUGGGAACUGCAUUGGUGACUGGCAGGCUAGAGUAUGGCAGAGGGGGGUAGAAUUCCACGUGUAGCAGUGAAAUGCGUAGAGAUGUGGAGGGAAUACCGAUGGCGAAGGCAGCCCCCUGGGCCAAUACUGACGCUCAUGCACGAAAGCGUGGGGAGCAAACAGGAUUAGAUACCCUGGUAGUCCACGCCCUAAACGAUGUCAACUAGUUGUUGGGGAUUCAUUUCCUUAGUAACGUAGCUAACGCGUGAAGUUGACCGCCUGGGGAGUACGGUCGCAAGAUUAAAACUUAAAGGAAUUGACGGGGUCAUAGCUG